UACGGGGGGAGCAAGCGUUGUUCGGAUUUACUGGGCGUAAAGGGCGCGUAGGCGGCGUGACAAGUCACUUGUGAAAUCUCCGGGCUUAACUCGGAACGGUCAAGUGAUACUGUCGUGCUAGAGUACGGAAGGGGCAACUGGAAUUCUCGGUGUAGCGGUGAAAUGCGUAGAUAUCGAGAGGAACACCUGCGGCGAAGGCGGGUUGCUGGGCUGAUACUGACGCUGAGGCGCGAAAGCCAGGGGAGCGAACGGG
rnacentral:rRNA from 1 species